CUAAAAGGACUUAACCUAAUUCCUAAAAGAAAAUGGCAGAAUCCCUUAAAAACGGGAACCAUCUCUUUCUAUCCAAAAACUAGACCAGCGGCCACUUUUAAUCUCCUAAGAGCAAGAGGCGCAUCAACUGGAGAGAAAGCAGAAAUCUUCUUUGUUUUCCAGCAACAAAAAUACUAUUUUCCACCAUUAAAGGAGCCUUCUUACUCAACUGAAAUCCAAUAGCUUUUCUCCAUGGAAGCUGCCUCAAACUCCAACACCAAAAUACCUCAAACUUUAGCUACAAAAUCUAUUAAACUCCCACAAAAAUCAGCGAAAAGCAGCCCCCAAAAACGCUUCUAGUUCCAGCACCACAACUCCACUUUUCUCCCUCAUUUCAGCUCCAAAACCCACCUGAAACAACUCCCAAAAAUCAGCCAAGAAUGACUUCAAAAGCUGCUAAAAAAUAGCAUCAAAUCUAGCUAAAAGACCUCCGAAAAUCAGCUCUAAAAUCGACAAAAAUGCAGCUGAAGAAUAGCUUCAACACAGUCCAAAUUCCAACCUAAACAGCGCCCUAAAAGAGUUCCGUAAAUGCAGCAAAGUCUCGAUUCUGUUUCAUCAUGUUGAACGGGGUUCAGUCGAGCUCUAAUCAUGGGUUCCGAUUGAAGUUACCGGCAAAUAUUUCGGUUAAAAUCGACAAGCUGCUGUAAUUCGAGUUUAGAUCUAUCAAUACAAAGAUUUGGAGCACUCGGAAAUUGGUUCGAGAGGCAAGCAUAUUGCAGAGUAGCUUUUCGGGCUAGUUCGAGGUCCUGCUAUUGAGGGUGGAUAGUUCCAGCAGAUCUUCGGAGGUUUACUAAGUAGUUGCUUGGCGAUUCGCAGCCCAGUGCAACCUCCCUCUAUCUUAUUUCCUUUUUGAUUCAGUUAUUUAGUAGUGGAGUAGACUUUCAUAUUUGUAGUAUUGUUUUAGAUGCUCGUGAUUGGUGACACAUCGAUGUCGGGCUGUGUUGAUUUUAUUUCCGC